UACGUAGGGGGCUAGCGUUGCUCGGAAUCACUGGGCGUAAAGGGCGCGUAGGCGGCCAGCACAAGUCAGUUGUGAAAUCUCCGAGCUUAACUCGGAAAGGUCAACUGAUACUGUGCGGCUAGAGUGCGGAAGGGGCAACUGGAAUUCUUGGUGUAGCGGUGAAAUGCGUAGAUAUCAAGAGGAACACCUGCGGCGAAGGCGGGUUGCUGGGCCGACACUGACGCUGAGGCGCGAAAGCCAGGGGAGCGAACGGG
rnacentral:rRNA from 1 species